AAUGGCAGGGAGAUCUUGCAGAGCCUGGACUUCAGCGUGGACGAGAAGGUGAACCUUCUGGAGCUGACCUGGGCCCUUGACAACGAGCUCAUGACAGUGGACAGUGCCGUCCAGCAGGCAGCCCUGGCCUGCUACCACCAGGAGCUGAGCUACCAGCAAGGGCAGGUGGAGCAGCUGGCAAGGGAGCGUGACAAGGCGAGGCAGGACCUGGAGAGGGCCGAGAAGAGGAACCUGGAGUUUGUGAAAGAGAUGGAUGACUGCCACUCCACCCUGGAGCAGCUCACGGAGAAGAAAAUCAAG
rnacentral:lncRNA from 1 species